UAUCGUUCACAUUACCAGACACUUAUUCUCGUCAUUAAAUAAAUAAAAAAAAAUUAUACGCAAAAUUUCUUAUUUAUUUUAUAUAGAAAAUCUCGGGUUAUUACAUUCACCCUCCCUUAUAAGGAUUCCGUCCCCGGAAUCACCGCUUUAAAACUCAUACACAGAAGAGUACAUAACGCAUAUAAUCCUUGCACAUAGACCUCGAUCAAUACUUGAUCGAACUGAUCUUUAACUAUUCUCCAUAACGCUUGUCUAUCUGAUAAACAGAAAUUUGAUUUCUAAAAGAACUCAAAUUCCUUCCUCAAAAUUUCUUUAAUAAAGUAAUCUACUAUAUGUAUAUAUACAGGAAAAUCAUAUAAGACACAUAAGUUAUUCAAAUAGCACCUGGAGUUCUAUUUCCAGCUGCCACAGUAUCCUCAACUGCUACGAUAUCUUGAACGACCAUAAUGAAGACACUUACGGUUUAUUUCGUUGUCGCCUAUAUCUUGCUGUCAUUUCUCGUAUUCGCAUUCCUUAUCUCACUUCUCCUUCUUGAAUAAUCUUUCACCUUAUACUCCAUUGAUUCACAAAUAAAACAUUCGCUAUACAUUCUUGAAUUGGGACAAUUGGAAGAGAUAUGUCUCUUCUGCCCACAAACUUUCUCUUUAUCUCAUUUCCCUUUUAUCGUAUAGGUGAUAAAAGUUAUCUUUUGCCCUUUCCGUUAUCCUAACUAUCAUAAACGCUUCUACUGAGUCACUUAAUCCUCUAUACCCUAGCAAUAAGAUUGCCUUAAAGUCUUUGGCGUUCGACGUUCGAUUAUCUGGUUGAUCUUCCGCGGCUGGUUUUCGUUUUCGUCUCGGUGACAUAAUCAUAAAUUAUUCUUCAUUUCCUUACAUUCUAAGCCUCAUCGUAUACGUUCGACAUAUAACACAAAAUUUUCUACUCAAAUAAUCAUGUAUUCCAAAAUAUUAAAUUUUGAAACUUGGUUUACUAUAUUAACCAAUAUUCAGAUAAAUAUCUGCUAUCUUUAUAACAACUUACUUCAUUAACCCAACAUAGACUCAUAUUCAUAGCACUUAACAUACC
rnacentral:lncRNA from 1 species